GGAAGAGAGAGCCUCUAGAGAACUUGCCGCCACCGAACUGUACCAGGACAUGUCUGCGAGGCAUUUUCCCGGUUAAUCAUUGAGUUGCCUUGGCCAUGGUGUCUCUUCACAGCAAUAGAACAGGAACCAGGACAUCCGCCCAAGGGUCACCAGUGUUUACAGGACCCCUGACAGGGUUUCACCUGGACCUGCGAGGAGAUUCUGCCAAGAAGCACUUGUGACCAAACCUUUGACAUCUAAGAACAAAAUCCCCCACAGGAUCUGAGCUAGCCUCUGCGGAAUGGCAGGACAGACAGACAGAGGUCUCACUGCCUUCUGGUUCCUUUCACCUUCCCUUGCUUCUAAAGCUCCAAAGCAUCAAGGCAAUCAGAUUCUUCUUUGAACUUCACUAAGGCAGACACAGGAUGGCUGGCCUUAGGAUGUUCUUCAUGUAAGACAGAGUAAUGGCCCAGUCCAUGUGUGACCUCUGGGUCUCUGCAUGGGUCUUGGUACCUGUGUUCCUUGGGCCAACUGGGGUACCCAGUACUUUCCCAACAUUACUCUGGGGCCAGCUCUUUCUAAGUAGCCACGUUUUGCACAGGAGGAUGGAGCGAAGGGGCUGUUUUUGUGGACCUGGGCUCUAUCUUUGGCAGGACUGCUGCCUGAGAGAGAGACACUCUCCUUGGCUGUGCCAUGGCCACUGCUGAGAAGAGAUGCCAAUCAGAGGGAAGCCAGCUGGGCACCCAGUUUGGCAAGGUGCAACUGUAUGCAAUGGAUGAAAACUAUUCAUGUGGGAACUGAGGUUAAGAACACCGAGUCUCCAGAGUUUACAAGUGUGGCUUUCUUCAGAGAAGUCUAUCAUGGUGUGUCCCGGCUUUGUCUGUGUUUGGGAUGCCACAAUCACCAUCAGCCAGGCGUGAAGGCAUAUCCCUGUAAUCCCAGCACUUGGAAGGUGGAGGCGGAAGGAUCAAGAGUUCAAGGCCACUCUCAAAUACACAGCAAAUCAAAGGUCAAGGCCGAUUUGGGCUGUUGGUGACCCUGUCUCUAAAGACCAGACCAGACCAAUCAUCAUCUCGACCUGGCUGAUCCGAUGUCCUUCUCUGGCGGGACUUACACUUAGUUCUCUUUAGGGCUACAUACAACGCCUGGUCCACGGAAUGUUCUCAACAGUGUAUGGGAAAUAAAUGUUAAACACUGAAAACAACAACAUAGCAAGGCGUCUGCAGCCCUAGAUUCUAAAAUUCUAUGGAUCUUAUCACUUGCUUUGCUUCCUCCAAAGAUGAUGGCUGCCCUCCCCAGCUCGACUAAAACACGCCCAUAGCACACCCAGUGCCAAGCAUUCCCCUUCGUCUCCUGGCACCACUGGAUCAAGGCCCUCAGCCAGCACAAGCUCAGGUAGGCGGCUUCCAUAGUUGACAGCCUAUUUCUGUACUACCAGCUAGAUUAUAUGUUUACCACGGGCCAUUGUGUUUGUGCUCAAACCUGUUCGUGUCAGUUGUACUCAGUAUUGUAUUUGCGUAAGUUAAUUAUAUAUUAUGGAAAUUAAUGAACUAUCUGCACGGAAGGAGAGCUACUGCUCUUGUAGGUAUGGGGUUUUGGAAAGGCCUGCUGAAGAUGAGCAUGUCAUAAGUGAUCUGCUGUCCUGCUCCCACGUGGGGCAAAUGGGAGGCGGAGACAGGAGAAUCCUUGAAAGCGCACAGGCCUGUUAGCCUGGCACACAGCAGGAAGAAAAAGCAAAGAGACCCUGUCUCAGACAAGGAUAGACACCCAAGUCCUUCCACUGCGCCCUGAUGCCUCCAGGGACUCCAUGAAUGCCUUUCAAGUGUUGUCCAUGCCCCUACUAAAGCUAUGCUGUGACCUGUGGUUUGAAAGUCAGCGAUGUGAUCCUAUUCCUUUAUUUUGCUCCUAGGAAAUAAAGGCGCAGGGAGAGUUUAGGGCUCUGUAAAUGUUUCUUAGACAGUGAGUCUGGGGAACAACCCUUCUCCAUGGUUUGUUUUGUUUUGUUUUCUCCCAGAGAAGCCUGGUUGAAAAGCAACAGGCAUAGCACAAUUUCCCUUGCAAAAAGUAACAGGGAGGGGCUGGGAGAUGGCUCAGCUGGUAAAGUGUUUGCUGUGAAAAACUGGUGACCCGGGUCCCGAUCUCAGCACCCUUGUGAAAAGCCAGGUGCAGAGGCACAAACCUGUGACCCCAGCACUGGGGACGCAGGGACAGGAAAGGCCCUGGUGCUUGUCCGCCAGCCCAUCUAGCUGUAUCCACAAGCUCUCAGCUCAGUGAGAGA